rnacentral:sRNA from 1 species
GGAUGAAGAGUUUCUUAUUCGAGUUUCUUCUGCUCGGCACUCAGUGAAACAUUUAUUACAAAAGCAAUCUUUGUUGCGACCUGGCCUGGGCUUCGACAUCUGCUCUCUGCCAGGUAUCCGUGAAAUAUGUGAGCUUCUACAAAGGAUAAACAACUUAGAAACG